rnacentral:rRNA from 1 species
UACGUAGGGUGCAAGCGUUAAUCGGAAUUACUGGGCGUAAAGCGUGCGCAGGCGGUUUUGUAAGUCAGAUGUGAAAUCCCCGGGCUUAACCUGGGAACUGCGUUCGAAACUACAAGGCUAGAGUGUGGCAGAGGGGGGUGGAAUUCCGACGUGUAGCAGUGAAAUGCGUAGAGAUGUGGAGGAACACCGAUGGCGAAGGCAGCCCCCUGGGUUAACACUGACGCUCAGGCACGAAAGCGUGGGGAGCAAACAGG